UCCGGUGAGGGGGGAGCGGGUGCCUGUGCUGUGCCUGUACAGGAGAGGGGACACAGCGGGCACCAGAUAUGGGGGCCGGUGCUGAGAGGAGCUGAGCGAAGCGUGCAGCAAGAGUAGGAGCUGCCACUCUUUGUUAAAGCAUCUUACACACAGUGUGCUACUGUAUGGCUCAAGUGGACAUAUAUAUCUUUACUGGAUGUGGACAAGGCCAUUUUGCUUGGAUUCCAUUUCGUGUUUUACUUACUUCGUUUGAUACUCACAAUCAAGAUGAGUGGAGUGCGGAUGAUGUCUUGGAGGUGUGUCCAAAAUUUGGAGUGGGGGGACCGAACAUACUGUCGAUAAUCUUUGUGGCGGGGUAGCCUGCUGUGGUUGGCCCUGGACAUCAGACCUUGCUUUCUUUGCUGCCACAGGUUUUUUUGUGGUGAUGUCUUACAGAAGUCCCACUUCUGCUGCUCCAGACUUCUUUUGAUGGACCUAUUAAUAAAAGUGAAAUUUUGUUAUGGCCAUUCUUUUAAAAACAUACCCUAUACUACAAUGGACACUUUACCUGCUUCCGCAGCAUCAUCAUCAUCAGAUGUGAUGGGAGUUACUGGAGGACGAGUAGUACUGCUUUUUUCAAACACUGUAAAAAAAAAACCUCAUGUAUACAUGCUAUUGUUGAUACAUCCACCCAUUAUGCUUAUAAACAGUUAUUAUUUAAGAAAUGCUUGCUUUAUUUUUAUGAAAAACAUAAGGACCGGAAACAAA